UACGAAGGGGGCGAGCGUUGUUCGGAAUUACUGGGCGUAAAGGGCGCGUAGGCGGCGAUCCUAGUCAGAUGUGAAAGUCCUGGGCUUAACCUGGGGACUGCAUUUGAUACUGGAUUGCUUGAAUUCGGGAGAGGAUAGCGGAAUUCCCAGUGUAGAGGUGAAAUUCGUAGAUAUUGGGAAGAACACCGGUGGCGAAGGCGGCAACCUGGUCCUUGACUGACGCUGAGGCGCGAAAGCGUGGGGAGCAA
rnacentral:rRNA from 1 species